GUAGGCUCAGUUGGUGCAAUGUCUUCUUCAAGACUUUGAUGCAGGUGCCCAUGCAUGCAAGGAGGAAGCAGAGCACGGGUUGGAGUACACUCCUGCUGCGGCUCGAUGGUGUGUUGCUUCCUCAUUCAAUGGGAGUUGCUGAAGCAUUUGAGGGGUGGCAGCUCCUUUGGGGUUCAAAUGUGUUUGAAUUCGCGGGAGGACUGCUGCUGCUGCUGCUCACGGCCACAAGAAACAGAGGAAAAGAACAAGCUCUCGUACCUUUGCAUGCUCGACGGUUCCUUGUGGCGUCUGG